rnacentral:rRNA from 1 species
CCAAUAGCGUAUAUUAAAGUUGUUGCAGUUAAAAAGCUCGUAGUUGAAUUUUGGGUUUGGCCGAUUGGUCCGUUCUUGUAACGAGUACUGGUCGGUUGGGCCUCACCGCCUGGUAAUGCGUAAUGCCCUUUAUUGGGUGUUGCGAGUAGCCAGGACCUUUACCUUGAAAAAAUUAGAGUGUUUAAAGCAGGCUUAUGCCGGAAUACAUUAGCAUGGAAUAAUAGAAUAGGACGAUGAUUCUAUUUUGUUGGUUUCUAGGAGCAUUGUAAUGAUUAAUAGGGAUAGUUGGGGGCAUUAGUAUUCAAUUGUCAGAGGUGAAAUUCUUGGAUUUAUUGAAGACUAACUACUGCGAAAGCAUUUGCCAAGGAUGUUUUCAUUAAUCAAGAACGAAAGUUAGGGGAUCGAAGACGAUCAGAUACCGUCGUAGUCUUAACCAUAAACUAUGCCGACUAGGGAUCGGGCGAUGUUGUUUCAAUGACUCGCUCGGCACCUUAUG